rnacentral:rRNA from 1 species
UAGGGAAUCUUCGGCAAUGGACGAAAGUCUGACCGAGCAACGCCGCGUGAGUGAAGAAGGUUUUCGGAGCGUAAAACUCGGUUGUUAGAGAAGAACAAGGACGUUAGUAACUGAACGUCCCCUGACGGUAUCUAACCAGAAAGCCACGGCUAACUACGUGCCAGCAGCCGCGGUAAUACGUAGGUGGCAAGCGUUGUCCGGAUUUAUUGGGCGUAAAGCGAGCGCAGGCGGUUUCUUAAGUCUGAUGUGAAAGCCCCCGGCUCAACCGGGGAGGGUCAUUGGAAACUGGGGGACUUGAGUGCAGAAGAGGAGAGUGGAAUUCCAUGUGUAGCGGUGAAAUGCGUAGAUAUAUGGAGGAACACCAGUGGCGAAGGCGGCUCUCUGGUCUGUAACUGACGCUGAGGCUCGAACGCGUGGGGAGCAAACAGG